rnacentral:rRNA from 1 species
GACGAACGCUGGCGGCGUGCCUAAUAUAUGCAAGUCGAACGCUUCUUUUUCCACCGGAGCUUGCUCCACCGGAAAAAGAGGAGUGGCGAACGGGUGAGUAACACGUGGGUAACCUGCCCAUCAGAAGGGGAUAACACUUGGAAACAGGUGCUAAUACCGUAUAACAAUCGAAACCGCAUGGUUUUGAUUUGAAAGGCGCUUUCGGGUGUCGCUGAUGGAUGGACCCGUGGUGCAUUAGCUAGUUGGUGAGGUAACGGCUCACCAAGGCGACGAUGCAUAGCCGACCUGAGAGGGUGAUCGGCCACAUUGGGACUGAGACACGGCCCAAACUCCUACGGGAGGCAGCAGUAGGGAAUCUUCGGCAAUGGACGAAAGUCUGACCGAGCAACGCCGCGUGAGUGAAGAAGGUUUUCGGAUCGUAAAACUCUGUUGUUAGAGAAGAACAGGGAUGAGAGUAACUGUUCAUCCCUUGACGGUAUCUAACCAGAAAGCCACGGCUAACUACGUGCCAGCCGCCGCGGUAA